UACACCAAAACUUCUUCAUUAAGCCAACGUUGUUUUGAGGACAAUAGUUUCCUUUUUAAAGGGAGGCCUACUAGCCUGAAUUGCAUAUAAAUCACAUACAGAGUUCAGUUUGAUAGACAAGACGCCAGCACUGAAUUAUUGAUAAGUGUAUGGUCUCCGUAUGGAAGAUCACCCAACCCUUAGCAGGCGAUCCUCCUCCUCCGUAGUGUCCUGCAACUUCUAAAUGUUCUAC